UUUUGGGAUAAGCUCAGUUGGUAGAGCGUGAGACUCUCGAUCUCAGGGUCGUGGGUUCGAGCCCCACGCUGGGUGAAAG